UACGUAGGUGGCAAGCGUUGUCCGGAUUUACUGGGCGUAAAGAGCGCGCAGGCGGUCGAUUUAGUCGCGUGUGAAAGCCCCCGGCUCAACUGGGGAGGGUCACGCGAUACUGAUCGACUCGAAGGCAGGAGAGGGUAGUGGAAUUCCCGGUGUAGUGGUGAAAUGCGUAGAUAUCGGGAGGAACACCAGUGGCGAAGGCGACUUCCUGGCCUGUUCUUGACGCUGAGGCGCGAAAGCUAGGGGAGCAAACGGG
rnacentral:rRNA from 1 species